UUCAAUGGUGGGGCGUGCAGGGCAGCUGAAAAGCUGGCCGGUUUCGGUAGUCGCCGGUAGUUCCAACCCUGUACGUCUCGCCACCCAU
rnacentral:antisense_RNA from 1 species